rnacentral:rRNA from 1 species
AUUGAACGCUGGCGGCAUGCCUAACACAUGCAAGUCGAACGAGUGGCGGACGGGUGAGUAAUGUCUGGGAAACUGCCCGAUGGCGGGGGAUAACUACUGGAAACGGUAGCUAAUACCGCAUACCAUCGGAUGUGCCCAGAUGGGAUUAGCUAGGAGGUGGGGUAACGGCUCACCUAGGCGACGAUCCCUAGCGGGUCUGAGAGGAUGACCGGCGUAACUGGAACGGAAACACGGUCCAGACGCCUACGGGAGGCAGCAGUGGGGAAUAUUGGACAAUGGGCGCAAGCCUGAUGCAGCCAGGCCGCGUGUGUGAAGAAGGCCUUCGGGUUGUAAAGUACUUUCAGCGAGGAGGCGUUACUCGCAGAAGAAGCACCGGCUAACUCCGUGCCAGCAGCCGCGGUAAUAC